rnacentral:rRNA from 1 species
AUUGACCUCGGAUCAGGUAGGGAUACCCGCUGAACUUAAGCAUAUCAAUAAGCGGAGGAAAAGAAACCAACAGGGAUUGCCUUAGUAACGGCGAGUGAAGCGGCAACAGCUCAAAUUUGAAAUCUGGCGCUUUCGUGCCCGAGUUGUAAUUUGUAGAGGAUGUUUCGGGUGCGGCACCGAUCUAAGUUCCUUGGAACAGGGCGUCAUAGAGGGUGAGAAUCCCGUAUGUGACCGGUCGCCUAUCCCAUGUGAAACUCCUUCGACGAGUCGAGUUGUUUGGGAAUGCAGCUCAAAAUGGGUGGUAUAUUUCAUCUAAAGCUAAAUAUUGGCCAGAGACCGAUAGCGCACAAGUAGAGUGAUCGAAAGAUGAAAAGCACUUUGGAAAGAGAGUUAAAAAGUACGUGAAAUUGUUGAAAGGGAAGCGCUUGCAACCAGACUCGCUCGGGGGUGAUCAACCGUCCUUUUGGGCGGUGCACUCUCCCUCGAUCGGGCCAGCAUCGGUUCGGGCGGCUGGAUAAAGGCUUCGGGAACGUAGCUCCUCUCGGGGAGUGUUAUAGCCCGGGGUGCAAUGCAGCCAGCCUGGACCGAGGACCGCGCUUUUGCUAGGAUGCUGGCGUAAUGGUUGUCAGCGACCCGUCUUGAAACACGGACCAAGGAGUUAACCACCGGUGCGAGUGUUUGGGUGUCAAACCCACACGCGUAAUGAAAGUGAACGGAGGUGAGAACCCCUUUCGGGGCGCAUCAUCGACCGAUCCUGAUGUCUUCGGAUGGAUUUGAGUAAGAGCACCGUUGGUUUGACCCGAAAGAUGGUGAUCUAUACGCGGAUAGGGUGAAGCCAGAGGAAACUCUGGUGGAGGCUCGCAGCGGUUCUGACGUGCAAAUCGAUCGUCAAAUCUACGUAUAGGGGCGAAAGACCAAUCGAACCGUC